AAAACAUCUAAGAGGGAGCCAUCUUAGCAACUAGUGCAGGUGACAUCCAAAAAUUUUUCUUUACACAUUAGCUUAUGCAUUUGCACCAUUUAUAUAUGUGAAUACUAAUGUUAUUUUAUAAUUGAUCGAUUAGUGUCCAAGACAAGAAGGAGGGUUCGAAUGUGGUUACUUUGUUAUGAGAUUCAUUAAAGAGAUAAUUUUUUAUCCUACAAUUAUUGCUUCAAAGGUAUUACUUAUUUAAUGAAUUGUACAUAGUUUUAGGCUUCCAAAUGUUAUGCAUUUUAAUGUUAUUUUCUUAUUUGAUUUCAGUUUGGUAAUAAAAAAAAACAUAUUCUCAAGUAGAAUUCGAUGAAAUUAGAGGAGAAUGGGCUACUUUUGUGCUACAACUAAUCAUGAAUCAUGUUGAUGCAUCAUGAUCACCAUGCAUGGUAUACACUCUUGGGAGGGUGAAAUGGAGAAUAAAAAGAAAGAAGGCAACAAGAUUUUGGGUUUUUAAAUGCAACUCUUAUGUCAUACGUUGUAGGACAUAAACGUUACUUUAAUUGCAACUGAGAAAUUUAGAUUUUUAGAUGGGACUUCUAUGUCAUUUUAUGGUUAGCCGGUUUUAUGCUUAUGAAAUGGAGGUAUACAUGAAUCUUGGGAUCUUUAACAUUUCUAAAUCAUGUUUUGGUA